UAGACAUUUGACAAUACUUUAGUCACUCAAAUAUCUCAAACUCUGUCUCAAUACUCUGCUCCCUCUCUUACAUUGUAAGCCAAACACACCCUAAAAUACAUCCACAAAAAAACAAAAAACAAAAUUUUUCCUAUUUAUCUCUUCUUUAUAACUCCCAUUUUACACAUUACAUUUUCUUGAAUUUGAAAAAAGAAAAUCAUAAUAUUAUUUUCUAGUGAUGGGGUUUGUAGUUGAGAUGUGUUGCAACUCAAGAUUGGUAUUUUUGUAUAGGAAAAAGAAGUUGAGGAACAUUUUCUUGAAAUUGAGAAGUGAAUUCUUGAAUCAAAAGAAGAACAAGAAGAGUAACAACAAUUUUGAAAAUGAUGUAAGGAGGACUAAUGACAAGUUAAGGAAGUGUUUUGUAUAUUAGUUUUGUUUAAAUUUUAGUUUAAUCAACUUAAUGGUAGAUUAAUGUUUAUUACUCUUUAAAAGUAUUUUAAGAAUUUUGAUGUUAUGUUCCUUGAUGACUAGUUUAAUUAUUAUCUAGGUUUAUUCAAAAUGUUGUAAGGAGGCUUAAUGACAAGUUAAUGAAAUUUUUUUUUGACUA